rnacentral:rRNA from 1 species
AUUGAACGCUGGCGGCAGGCCUAACACAUGCAAGUCGAGCGGACGAAGGGAGCUUGCUCCUGGAUUCAGCGGCGGACGGGUGAGUAAUGCCUAGGAAUCUGCCUGGUAGUGGGGGAUAACGUCCGGAAACGGGCGCUAAUACCGCAUACGUCCUGAGGGAGAAAGUGGGGGAUCUUCGGACCUCACGCUAUCAGAUGAGCCUAGGUCGGAUUAGCUAGUUGGUGGGGUAAAGGCCUACCAGGGCGACGAUCCGUAACUGGUCUGAGAGGAUGAUCAGUCACACUGGAACUGAGACACGGUCCAGACUCCUACGGGAGGCAGCAGUGGGGAAUAUUGGACAAUGGGCGAAAGCCUGAUCCAGCCAUGCCGCGUGUGUGAAGAAGGUCUUCGGAUUGUAAAGCACUUUAAGUUGGGAGGAAGGGCAGUAAGUUAAUCCCUUGCUGUUUUGACGGUACCAACAGAAUAAGCACCGGCUAACUACGUG